rnacentral:tRNA from 1 species
GGCACUUUGGCGGAGUGGUUAACGCGAUGCCCUGCUAUCAUACCUAGCCAGGCAUUUCCCUCGGGAGCGUGUGUUCGAAUCACACAGGUGUCG